GACGAACGCUGGCGGCGUGCUUAACACAUGCAAGUCGAACGGAAAGGCCCUGCUUUUGUGGGGUGCUCGAGUGGCGAACGGGUGAGUAACACGUGAGUAACCUGCCCUUGACUUUGGGAUAACUUCAGGAAACUGGGGCUAAUACCGGAUAGGAGCUCCUGCUGCAUGGUGGGGGUUGGAAAGUUUCGGCGGUUGGGGACGGACUCGCGGCUUAUCAGCUUGUUGGUGGGGUAGUGGCUUACCAAGGCUUUGACGGGUAGCCGGCCUGAGAGGGUGACCGGCCACAUUGGGACUGAGAUACGGCCCAGACUCCUACGGGAGGCAGCAGUGGGGAAUAUUGCACAAUGGGCGGAAGCCUGAUGCAGCAACGCCGCGUGCGGGAUGACGGCCUUCGGGUGGUAAACCGCUUUCGCCUGUGACGAAGCGUGAGUGACGGUAAUGGGUAAAGAAGCACCGGCUAACUACGU
rnacentral:rRNA from 1 species